rfam:Dipodomys ordii contig_98529, whole genome shotgun sequence.
UGGCUCAGUGGUAGAGCACUUGCCUUGCAUGCAUGAGGCCUUGGGUUCGAUUCCUCA